AGUUCGAUCAUGGCUCAGAUUGAACGCUGGCGGGAUGCUUUACACAUGCAAGUCGAACGGCAGCACGGACUCGGGUCUGGUGGCGAGUGGCGAACGGGUGAGUAAUGUAUCGGAACGUGCCUAGUAGCGGGGGAUAACUACGCGAAAGCGUAGCUAAUACCGCAUACGCCCUUCGGGGAAAGCGGGGACCUCGGGCCUCGCACCUAUUAGAGCGGCCGAUAUCGGAUUAGCUAGCUGGUGGGGUAACGGCUCACCAAGGCGACGAUCCGUAGCUGGUUUGAGAGGACGACCAGCCACACUGGGACUGAGACACGGCCCAGACUCCUACGGGAGGCAGCAGUGGGGAAUUUUGGAUAAUGGGGGAAACCCUGAUCCAGCCAUCUCGCGUGUGCGAUGAAGGCUCUCGGGUUGUAAAGCACUUUGGCAGGGGAAAGAAACGGCACGGGAUAAUACCCGUGCAACUGACGGUACCUGCAGAAUAAGCACCGGCCAACUACGUGCCAGCAGCCGCGGUAAUACGUAGGGUGCAAGCGUUAAUCGGAAUUACUGGGCGCAAGCGUGCGCAGGCGGUUCGAAAAAGAAAGAUGUGAAAUCCCAGAGCUUAACUUUUGGAACUGUAUUUUUAACUACCGAGCUAGAGUGUGUCAGAGGGAGGUGAAUUCCGUGUAGCAGGAAAUGCGUAGAUAUGCGGAGGAACACCGAUGGCGAAGGCAGCCUCUGAUAACACUGACGCUCAUGCACGAAAGCGUGGGGAGCAAACAGGAUUAGAUACCCUGGUAGUCCACGCCUAAACGAUGUCAACUAGCUGUUGGGGCCUUCGGGCCUUGGUAGCGCAGCUAACGCGUGAAGUUGACCGCCUGGGGAGCAUGGUCGCAAGAUUAAAACUCAAAGGAAUUGACGGGGACCCGCACAAGCGGUGUGGAUGAUGGGAUUAAUUCGAUGCAACGCGAAAAACCUUACCUACCCUUGACAUGUCUGGAAUCCCGAAGAGAUUUGGGAGUGCUCGCAAGAGAACCGGAACACAGGUGUUGCAUGGCUGUCGUCAGCUCGUGUCGAGAUGUUGGGUUAAGUCCCGCAACGAGCGGCAACCCUUGUCAUUAGUUGCUACGAAAGGGCACUCUAAUGAGACUGCCGGUGACAAACCGGAGAAGGUGGGGAUGACGUCAAGUCCUCAUGGCCCUUAUGGUAUUUCACACGUCAUACAAUGGUCGGGACAGAUGGUCGCUAACCCGCGAGGGGGAGCCAAUCCCAGAAACCUGAUCGUAGGUCCGAUCGCAGUCUGCAACUCGACUGCGUGAAGUCGGAAUCGCUAGUAAUCGCGGAUCAGCAUGUCGCGGUGAAUACGUUCCCGGGUCUUGUACACACUGCCCGUCACACCAUGGGAGUGGGUUUUACCAGAAGUAGUUAGCCUAACCGUAAGGAGGGCGAUUACCACGGUAGGAUUCAUGACUGGGGUGAAGUCGUAACAAGGUAG
rnacentral:rRNA from 1 species